AGUAACUGCGAGUGAAGCGGGAUGAGCUCAAAUUUAAAAUCUGGCGGUUUCACCGUCCGAGUUGUAAUCUGGAGAAGCGUUUUCCGCGUCGGACCGUGUACAAGUCUCUUGGAAUAGAGCGUCAUAGAGGGUGAGAAUCCCGUCCAUGACACGGACUCCCGAUGCUUUGUGAUACGCUCUCAAAGAGUCGAGUUGUUUGGGAAUGCAGCUCAAAAUGGGUGGUAAAUUCCAUCUAAAGCUAAAUAUUGGCGAGAGACCGAUAGCGAACAAGUACCGUGAGGGAAAGAUGAAAAGCACUUUGGAAAGAGAGUUAAACAGUACGUGAAAUUGUUGAAAGGGAAACGCUUGAAGUCAGUCGCGUUGUACGGAGCUCAGCCUUGCUUCUGCUUGGUGUAUUCUCUGUGUCAACGGGUCAACGUCAAUUUUGACCGGUGGAAAAGGGCUUGGGGAAUGUAGCGUCGUUUCGGCGACGUGUUAUAGCCCCAGGUCGUAUGCAUCGGUUGGGAUUGAGGACCGCAGCACGCCCUUGUGGCCGGGGAUUCGUCCCACGUUCGUGCUUAGGAUGUUGGCAAAAUGGCUUUAAGCGACCCGUCUUGAAACACGGACCAAGGAGUCUAACAUGCCUGCGAGUGUUCGGGUGGAAAACCCUUGCGCGUAAUGAAAGUGAAAGUUGGGAUCCCUCGCAAGGGGGUGCACCGACGCCCGGCCCUGACGUUCUCUGACGGUGCUGCGGUAGAGCAUGUAUGUUGGGACCCGAAAGAUGGUGAACUAUGCCUGAAUAGGGUGAAGCCAGAGGAAACUCUGGUGGAGGCUCGUAGCGAUUCUGACGUGCAAAUCGAUCGUCAAAUUUGGG
rnacentral:rRNA from 1 species